CGUAUGGGGCGAGCGUUGUCCGGAAUCAUUGGGCGUAAAGGGUUCGUAGGCGGUUUAUUAAGUCGAGUGUGAAAGGUUGGGGCUCAACCCCAUAAAGCAUUCGAAACUGAUAAACUUGAGAUGUGGAGAGGAAAGUGGAAUUCCUAGUGUAGCGGUGACAUGCGUAGAUAUUAGGAGGAAUACCAGUAGCGAAGGCGACUUUCUGGACACAAACUGACGCUAAGGAACGAAAGCGUGGUGAGCAAACAGGAUUAGAUACCCUGGUAGUUCCUGAG
rnacentral:rRNA from 1 species